rnacentral:rRNA from 1 species
UACGGGGGGGGCUAGCGUUGUUCGGAAUUACUGGGCGUAAAGCGCACGUAGGCGGAUUGGAAAGUUGGGGGUGAAAUCCCGGGGCUCAACCCCGGAACUGCCUUCGAAACUCCCAGUCUGGAGGUCGAGAGAGGUGAGUGGAAUUCCGAGUGUAGAGGUGAAAUUCGUAGAUAUUCGGAGGAACACCAGUGGCGAAGGCGGCUCACUGGCUCGAUACUGACGCUGAGGUGCGAAAGCGUGGGGAGCAAACAGG